CCUACGGGUGGCUGCAGUGGGGAAUAUUGCACAAUGGGCGAAAGCCUGAUGCAGCGACGCCGCGUGAGUGAAGAAGUAAUCCGUUAUGUAAAUCCUUAUCAGCAGGGCAGAAAAUGACGGUACCUGAGUAAGAAGCACCGGCUAACUACGUGCCAGCAGCCGCGGUAAUACGUAGGGGGCAAGCGUUAUCCGGAUUUACUGGGUGUAAAGGGAGCGUAGACGGUAGUGCAAGUCUGGAGUGAAAGGCGGGGGCUCAACCCCCGGACUGCUCUGGAAACUGGACGGCUGGAGUGCAGGAGAGGUAAGGGGAAUGCCUAGUGUAGCGGUGAAAUGCGUAGAUAUUAGGAGGAACACCAGUGGCGAAGGCGGCUUACUGGACUGUAACUGACGCUGAGGCUCGAAAGCGUGGGGAGCAAACAGGAUUAGAUACCCUUGUAGUC
rnacentral:rRNA from 1 species